rnacentral:lncRNA from 1 species
UUUGUGAUAUAUAUUGAGUUUUCCCAAGGGUACCUUCUGGAAUGCUUAGCUAAUAUCUUAAUUAAGACAUUUUGUUUUCACAGCAGCUCUACAGUGUGAAGAAGGUACAGCCUCAUCUUAUGAAGUAUGACAAAAGUGCAGAGAAGUUGGUUCAGGAGUUUCUGCUAAGUUUGUGACUCCAGUCUGAGUACUCUGCUAACUGGGAAAAUGAUAAUUUUGUUCAUGACACAGAUUAAGGUAAGGAACCAAUCCACUGAACAGCAUUGCACAGGUACAGAAUAACUUGGAAAAGUCCAAGCUGAACUGAAGUCACAGUGGCUGGAACAGAGGUCAAAUGUAU